rnacentral:rRNA from 1 species
UACAGAGGUGGCAAGCGUUGUUCGGAAUUACUGGGCGUAAAGGGCGCGUAGGCGGUCUUGUAAGUCUUGUGUGAAAUCCCUCGGCUCAACUGAGGAACUGCACGGGAUACUGCGAGACUUGAGUUCGGGAGAGGGUAGUGGAAUUCCCGGUGUAGUGGUGAAAUGCGUAGAUAUCGGGAGGAACACCAGUGGCGAAGGCGACUACCUGGCCUGUUCUUGACGCUGAGGCGCGAAAGCUAGGGGAGCAAACGGG